rnacentral:rRNA from 1 species
CGCUGGCGGCGUGCCUAAUACAUGCAAGUCGUCGGAAUGGAUUAAGAGCUUGGUCUUAUGAAGUUAGCGGCGGACGGGUGAGUAACACGUGGGUAACCUGCCCAUAAGACUGGGAUUUCUCCGGCAAUCCGGGGCUAAUACCGGAUAACAUUUUGAACCGCAUCCUUCGAAAUUGAAACGCGGCUUCGGCUGUCACUUAUGGAUGGACCCGCGUCGCAGUUAGCUAGUUGGUGAGGUAACGGCUCACCAAGGCAACGAUGCGUAGCCGACCUGAGAGUGUGAUCGGUCACACUGGGACUGAGACACGGCCCAGACUAAUACGGGAGGCAGCCGUAGCGAAUCAAUCCGCAAUGGACGAAAGUCUGACGGAGCAACGCCGCGUGAGUGAUGAAGGCUUUCGUGGGCGUAAAACUCUGUUGUUAGGGAAGAACAAGUGCUAGUUGAAUAAGCUGGCACCUUGACGGUACCUAACCAGAUAGUCACAACUAACUACGUGCCAGCAGGGGCGGUAAUACAUAGGUGGCAAGCCUUAUCCUGAAUUAUUGGGCGUCAAGCGCGCGCAGGUGGUUCUUAAGUCUGAUGUGAAAGCCCACGGCUCAACCGUGGAGGGUCAUUGGAAACUGGGAGACUUGAGUGCAGAAGAGGAAGUGGAAUUCCUCAUUAGCAGUGAAAUGCCAGAGACUGGAGGACAUCAGUGUGCGAAGGCGACUUUCUGGUCUGUAACUGACACUGAGGCGCGAAAGCGUGGGGAGCAAACAGGAUUAGAUACCCUGGUAGUCCACGCCGUAAACGAUGAGUGCUAAGUGUUAGAGGGUUUCCGCCCUUUAGUGCUGAAGUUAACGCAUUAAGCACUCCGCCUGGGGAGUACGGCCGCAAGGCUGAAACUCAAAGGAAUUGACGGGGGCCCGCACAAGCGGUGGAGCAAGUGGUUUAAUUCGAAGCAAGGCGAAGAAGCUUACCAGGUCUUGUCAUCCUCUGACAACCCUAGAGAUAGGGCUUCUCCAACGGGAGCAGAGUGACAGGUGGUGCAUGGAAGUCGUCAGCUCGUGUCGUGAGAUAUUGGGUUAAGUCCCGCAACGAGCGCAACCCUUGA